UGGUAAUUCAUGCUGCACUUAUGCCAUAGUGCUCAGGAUAUCUUAUGUUAAAUAUCUACAGCGACUACUACUCCUUUCUGUUCAUUUUUACUUGCCAAUAAUUUUUCAGAACGUUACACUCACCUCUUUCGGCCUCUGCCAGAUUUCACAGGAUUUCUAUAGUCUCUGAGAGAGGCAGCACUGGCUAAGUCACCAUGGGCUCUGGGGGCAGAAGGCAUGGGUUGAAAUUCUGGACCCACCACUGGCUUUGAAUCUUGAGAACGUCAUCUGCCCUAUUCCCUUCCUCAUGAACUGUGAGCGAUGAGACUGCAGGCUACCUUGCCUUCCUCACACAGCUGUUGAGAAGAUCAAGUUAAAUAAGGAUGCAGAAGCCCUCGAAAGCUCUAUUUUACAAUAAGGAAACUCAGAUGUGGAGAGAACUCGCCCAGGGCCACGGAACUAGUGAUGGUAUGGCAAGGAUUCAGACCGAAGCCCGGGCUCUAAACCACGACACUGCACCAAUUCUCCACACAUCAGCGAGCUCACCAAAUGGCCCCCUAUACUGCAUCAUAACUUUGUACUGAAUACAGUCCUGCACCGCACAAUGAUGUUCCAAGUCGACGACAGGCCACAUAUACAACGGUGGUCCCAUAAGAUUAUAAUGGAGCUGAAAACUUCCUAUCGCCUAGUGACAUUAUAGCCGUUGUAAC
rnacentral:lncRNA from 1 species